rnacentral:tRNA from 1 species
GCAGGGGUGGCGGAGCCUGGUCAAACGCGACGGGUUCAGGGCCCGUUUCCCUUAGGGGAUGCGAGAGUUCAAAUCUCUCCCCCUGCA